rnacentral:lncRNA from 1 species
UCUCGCACUCCCCUCGCCACCGAGCCGGAAUCUCAGGCAUACCGGCGUCAGUAAAGCUUGGAGAUUCAGGCCACACUCCUGUGUCGAGCACACCUACGAUAACAUCGUGCGACGCUUGGUUGAGGUCCUGCGCGGUGUGACCCUCCCACAGCCCCGUCUCUCUCUCGAGCCCCAAAAACUGGGGCGUACGCGUGGUGUGCAGUUGGUAGACCGUGUCCUCGUAGACUCCAAGAACAUCCUGGGAUCUGAGAAGGUCCUGCGCCUGGUCCUCGGCCAGCGACGCCGCAAAGCCGUUGUAGGCAUGAGUAUAAGAGUAAAGCAAGGGAUCGGAAUGAGUGGUUAAAGAUUGAAGAUUUGCGGUGUACCAGUCGGUGUGAG